rfam:Togninia minima TCRPA7 unplaced genomic scaffold PA7_03_scaffold_329, whole genome shotgun sequence.
ACGUACGACCAUAGAUAGUGGAAUACAGACGAUCCCGUCCGCUCUCGUGUACUUAAGCCACUAAUCGCUGGACUAGUAGUUGGGUCGGUGACGACCAGCGAAUCCCCGGUGUUGUACGUU